GGUGUAUUAGUCUUUAUAUACCACGGGUAUGGUGGUGGAUGAAGAUUAUAUUGGUGUAAUAAUUAAUUAACGAUGUUGUGAUAUAGCCGCCAGUUUUAACUAUAGCCCUAUCUAUGAUCUAAUUUAAGAACAUAAGUUUCCCAUAUGAUUUAUUUAUAAAAGCCAUUUCCGGGAUAGUGAUGUACUUCCGGUACAAUAGUGUCUGCGGGUACCCUGGUGUAUGUAAGCUGACUGACAUUGGUG
rnacentral:lncRNA from 1 species